UACGUAGGGGGCAAGCGUUGUCCGGACUUAUUGGGCGUAAAGAGCGUGUAGGCGGCCAGCUAAGUCCGCUGUGAAAUCUCGAGGCUCAACUUCGAGCUGUCGGUGGAAACUAUCUGGCUAGAGUCCGGAAGAGGAGAAUGGAAUUCCUGGUGUAGCGGUGAAAUGCGCAGAUAUCAGGAAGAACACCCGUGGCGAAGGCGGUUCUCUGGGACGGUACUGACGCUGAGGCGCGAAAGCGUGGGGAGCAAACAGG
rnacentral:rRNA from 1 species